GACGAACGCUGGCGGCGUGCUUAACACAUGCAAGUCGAACGGAAAGGCCCUGCUUUUGUGGGGUGCUCGAGUGGCGAACGGGUGAGUAACACGUGAGUAACCUGCCCUUGACUUUGGGAUAACUUCAGGAAACUGGGGCUAAUACCGGAUAGGAGCUCCUGCUGCAUGGUGGGGGUUGGAAAGUUUCGGCGGUUGGGGAUGGACUCGCGGCUUAUCAGCUUGUUGGUGGGGUAGUGGCUUACCAAGGCUUUGACGGGUAGCCGGCCUGAGAGGGUGACCGGCCACGUUGGGACGGAGAUACGGCCCAGACUCCUACGGGAGGCAGAGGUGGGGAAUAGUGCACAAUGGGCGGAAGCCUGAUGCGGCAACGCCGCGUGCGGGAUGACGGCCUUCGGGUUGUAAACCGCUUUCGCCUGUGACGAGGCGUGAGUGACGGUAAUGGGUAAAGAAGCACCGGCUAACUACGUG
rnacentral:rRNA from 1 species